AGAGAGAGACAUGCGCGCAUAUCAAUAAGCGGAGGAAAAGAAACUAACUAGGAUUCCCUCAGUAACGGCGAGUGAAGCGGGAAGAGCUCAAAUUUGAAAUCUUAAAGGUUCUACCUUGACGAAUUGUAGUUUAAAGAAGUGUUUUCUGUUGGAGUUUUGGUAAAAGUUCUUUGGAAUAGGACAUCAUAGAGGGUGAGAAUCCCGUAUUUGACCUUUACUUUCAACUUUGUGAUACACUUUCAAAGAGUCGGAUUGUUUGGGAAUGCAGUCCAAAAUGGGUGGUAAAUUUCAUCUAAAGCUAAAUAUUGGCGAGAGACCGAUAGCGAACAAGUACCGUGAGGGAAAGAUGAAAAGAACUUUGAAAAGAGAUGUUAAACAGUACGUGAAAUUGUCAAAAGGGAAGCGUUUGACACCAGUGUUGUUUUUCUGAAAAUCAAUUAAAGAUCUGUUUAUGCUAAGUUGUUUAGACUUUAUCAGCUAACUGUUUAGUUUUGAGCUUUUCUUUAAUGCACUUUUCAGUUAACAAGUCAACAUCAAUUUCUUUUGCUGUAAAAAAGCUUGAGGAAGGUGGCUUGAGAUUCGUCUUAAGUGUUUAUAGCCUCUUGCCUAUGCAGUCGGAGAGAUUGAGGUCUGCAGCGUAGAUCCUUCGGGGCUAAAUGCAUUUGUGCUAAGUUAUAGCAUUUUAUAGACAACUUGUUGACUAUGAUUUGUCUUGUAGCUUACUCGCUUAUGUUAUUUUACCUACGCUUAGGAUGUUGACGCAUGAGAUAUACGC
rnacentral:rRNA from 1 species